AGUGAACGCUGGCGGUAGGCCUAACACAUGCAAGUCGAACGGCAGCACAGUAAGAGCUUGCUCUUACGGGUGGCGAGUGGCGGACGGGUGAGGAAUACAUCGGAAUCUACUUUUUCGUGGGGGAUAACGUAGGGAAACUUACGCUAAUACCGCAUACGACCUACUGGUGAAAGCAGGGGAUCUUCGGACCUUGCGCGAUUGAAUGAGCCGAUGUCGGAUUAGCUAGUUGGCGGGGUAAAGGCCCACCAAGGCGACGAUCCGUAGCUGGUAUGAGAGGAUGAUCAGCCACACUGGAACUGAGACACGGUCCAGACUCCUACGGGAGGCAGCAGUGGGGAAUAUUGGACAAUGGGCGAAAGCCUGAUCCAGCCAUACCGCGUGGGUGAAGAAGGCCUUCGGGUUGUAAAGCCCUUUUGUUGGGAAAGAAAAGCAGCAGGUUAAUACCCCGCUGUUCUGACGGUACCCAAAGAAUAAGCACCGGCUAACUUCGUG
rnacentral:rRNA from 1 species